rnacentral:tRNA from 1 species
GUCUCUGUGGCUCAGUUGGAAGAGCGUUGGUCUCAUAGGAACUCUCUAUGACCCUGUCAUGAAGACAUGGAUAUCCAAAGGUCGCAAGUUCGAGCCUUGCCAGGGACA